UCAACAAAUGUGCAGAAGGAUAGAAAAUAAUGGUAUUUUUGAUGAAAAUGGUGUAGCCAAAAACAUACUUUCAUUGAAAGAGUGUAACAAAGACAUAGUAAACCAUGUGGCUAAGACAUUCCUACUGCCAUUGGGAUAAGUCUGAUCCUGAUCAGAUAGUCUAGACAUGACUUAUGAGGCUAGACUAUCACUAUCAUGUCUAGGUUUCAGACUCACAUAACAUAAUUUUAAAUGCAUAUGCUGCAAACAUGGACAGGAGUUGGAUUGCAUUGGACAAGAAGAAAAAAUGAGUUGCUGUCAUCCUUUCAUGACCCUUGCAAAUCUAGCAACGGAAAUUCGAAGGCAAAACGUUCAGUUACAUUUGGUUGUGGUUAAUGUUGAAGAUGGAAAAGCACCAAAAAAAAUGUGAAAAUGAAAGCAGAUAUGAUAGGAAAUCAUAUAGACAUUUGGUGAUCCAAAAAUAACUAGAGUUCAUGAAACAAGACUGAUUACGAAUACUUGAAUAUGGCUCUGAUCUGUCUUUGAUUUUUCCUGUUGGUGUGAACAAAUUGCAAGCUCAAAUAAAAACAAAUUGAAAUGGAACUCAUAGGUAUGCUUUGAAAAAAAGAAAAAAAACAGCAAUGUGAAUCUUGCCGAAGUCUUAACAACAACCAAGUCAACACACAGUUGCAACACAAAUGAGAAGAGAGAGACAUUUGCAAGGACUUAGAGUGUUCUCACUGUCUCACCAUCAGAAUGGCUUUCUCAUCAGCAAAGAAGAAGUCUAAAAUUACUUCUGUAUAAAAAGGUCAUCAAUAUUGAAGACAAUCAAGAAGAUUACGGUUGUACUUGCCCAUUUGAUAAAUAUUAAAAUCUUUUCAUUUGUCAGAAAUUGUUACUUAGAUUGACUAACUAGUUUUAUUGAUUGAAUUAUUAGUAAAUUACCUUUCGUAGUUCAUGUAGUUACAUGUAUGUAAUUUUUUUUCAGAUAGUAUGGAAACAAUUUAAUAUGUCCCUAAAUUCCAUACAUAAUGCAACAAUUUUCUUGUGCUGCUAAGUCAAUUUGAAUUAACUUUUAUGUUACUUUGUAUGUUUAUAGUACAUGUAAUCUUAUUCUUGCAUUUAAGCAUCAUUUUGUGUUAUUGUAUCAUCUUCAUUGAUUGUUAAAUAUAAUACUAAUGCUAUAAAAAAAAAAAACAUUUAUGAUCAUUAAAACAGAUUGAAAUAUUUAAAAAUAUAUCAAUGCUAAAAGGAAUUUAUAAAUUUAGACAUUUCUCGAGGAGAAUUUUAGAAAGUACUACAACAAAAGCAAACCAAUAGUAUAUGCUCAAAUGCACUAUUAUCUUUCUCACCAGAUAACCAAAUAGAGAUAUGUUUAUAUUUUAUCAAAUUGAUGAAGCUUAUGUUAGUUUAAAUAAAUAUGUACAUGCAAUUUUAAGGUUUUAAAAAACAACAUUUUUAUUGGAUUAUCUCCCUUUGUACAAUAGAAAUUCAGAUUUUAUCAUCACUGUCUCAGGUACUCAUGAUCAAAAUGACUUAUAUUGUUACCAGCAUGCAAGUAAAAGGUUGCAACUUUCUUAACUUUGUUUACCUGUAGAACACAUAUUCUGAAUGUCAAUACUUAAGAUUUUUCAAUAUGAUGAACUUGACAUUAAAUUUCAUAUCAUUUUUGAGUAACCAGAAUAAAACUUUAGUAAUUAGCAAGCUGCAAUAAAUAAAAUAGGAUUACUAGGAAGAAAUGAAAGGAUUUUACUCUUUAAAGUAGUAAGGACAAGUGUACUGAAGGAAUGUGUAAUAAAAAAAAUACCAAAAAAAAUUUGUUUUUGGCAGCUCCCCCCUUUUUUAAGCCUGAUGCUUACUAUUGUUUAUGACACAAAAAUCUAUUUCAAUUUGAAUUUUCUAUUUGAAUUACCUAUUUUGCAUAAUACAAUCUGUAUAAUUCAAGUAUUUAUUUUUGAAUGCUUGGUUUUAUUGAAAUAUGAGACUUUCCUCAAUUUAUUGCGAAAAUACACAAAAAAAGGGGGGGAGGCUAUCUAAAUGAUCAAUAAAAUCUAUAAAAUUAAUUUGCAACCGAAAUCCCUUCAACAUAUUUUGAACCAAAGAAAAUGCAAUGUAUGUCUGACAUUUAGGGUAAAUUAAAGCGACUUUUGGGCUGUAGUGUCUGUUUUAGUGUGAUUUGAUGAAAAGGCCAUAUUUUUUAUCACUUUAUGUGUUUUGCCACGCCC